rnacentral:rRNA from 1 species
CCCUUAGAUGUUCUGGGCCGCACGCGCGCUACACUGACUGGUGCAACAAGUGUCGCUCCUUGGCCGAUAGGCCUGGGCAAUCUUUGAACGCCAGUCGUGAUGGGGAUAGAUUCUUGCAAUUUUUGAUCUUCAACGAGGAAUUCCUAGUAAACGCGAGUCAUCAACUCGCAUUGAUUACGUCCCUGCCCUUUGUACACACCGCCCGUCGCACCUACCGAUUGAAUGGUCCGGUGAAAUCUCGGGACGGCGGCUUGGUCGCUUGCGUCCGACUGCUGAAACUUGAUUAAACCAUAUCAUUUAGAGGAAGGUGAANUCGUANCA